rnacentral:rRNA from 1 species
GACGAACGCUGGCGGCGUGCUUAACACAUGCAAGUCGAAGCGGUAAGGCCCUUUCGGGGGUACACGAGCGGCGAACGGGUGAGUAACACGUGGGUGACCUGCCCUCAGCUCUGGGAUAAGCCCGGGAAACUGGGUCUAAUACCGGAUAUGACUUCACGACGCAUGUUGUGGGUGGAAAGCCUUGUGCGGCUGAGGAUGGGCCCGCGGCCUAUCAGCUUGUUGGUGGGGUGAUGGCCUACCAAGGCGACGACGGUAGCCGGCCUGAGAGGGCGACCGGCCACACUGGGACUGAGAUACGGCCCAGACUCCUA